rnacentral:rRNA from 1 species
CAAGGAAUUUUCCCCAAUGGGCUCACGCCUGAGGGAGCAACGCCGCGUGGGGGAUGACGGCCUUCGGGUUGUAAACUCCUUUUGGGUGGGAUGAUAAUGACAGUACCAUCCGAAUAAGCCCCGGCUAACUCCGUGCCAGCAGCCGCGGUAAGACGGAGGGGGCAAGCGUUGUCCGGACUCACUGGGCGUAAAGCGCACGUAGGCGGUUGUGUGCGUCGCUGCUGAAAGCGCCAGGCUUAACCUGGCGAGGCGUGGCGAUACGACAUAACUCGAGGCAGGCAGAGGGUGGCGGAAUUCCGGGUGUAGUGGUGAAAUGCGUAGAGAUCCGGAGGAACGCCUGUGGCGCAAGCGGCCACCUGGGCCUGACCUGACGCUGAGGUGCGAAAGCGUGGGGAGCAAA